rnacentral:rRNA from 1 species
GUGGGGAAUAUUGCACAAUGGGCGAAAGCCUGAUGCAGCGACGCCGCGUGCGGGAUGAAGGCCUUCGGGUUGUAAACCGCUUUUGAUUGGGAGCAAGCGAGAGUGAGUGUACCUUUCGAAUAAGCACCGGCUAACUACGUGCCAGCAGCCGCGGUAAUACGUAGGGUGCAAGCGUUAUCCGGAAUUAUUGGGCGUAAAGAGCUCGUAGGCGGUUUGUCGCGUCUGGUGUGAAAGUCCAUCGCUUAACGGUGGAUCUGCGCCGGGUACGGGCAGGCUAGAGUGCGACAGGGGAGACUGGAAUUCCCGGUGUAACGGUGGAAUGUGUAGAUAUCGGGAAGAACACCAAUGGCGAAGGCAGGUCUCUGGGUCGUCACUGACGCUGAGGAGCGAAAGCGUGGGGAGCGAACAGGAUUAGAUACCCCGGUAGUCC